UGAAUAGGGGUGUUGGAGGUGCACAAGGCCCACAUUGUUCCUCCUCGCUGUCUGCAUGUGAUAACAAUAAACCCAUUCAUUUGACCACACGAAGGGCCUUGGCUGAUUCCAGUUUUAUAUUUGGACCCAGACUCAGCUUGCUGCCCCUCUCUUUCCACCUUGAUUUGUUUCUUGUUGCCAGAUGACCUUUUAUUGUGGCACUUAUCCAUCCCUGAAGCUUGAACAUCAAUAUAAGGCUGGGACGUUGUAACAUCAUUAGGAGAAACAUUUAUGUGUCUCCUUAGAACGUUCAGAGCGCAAGCGUCAUCAAUUACAUAAGCACACAGUGAAACCGCAUCAAUGUUUCUGCACGCUAAAAAUACAUUUCCGGGUUUUAAUCCAGCAGGAUUGCCGUGCUGCCACAAAACCACCAGACUCCAGGAAUAGCUGAAAAUGGACUUUUAAUGACAACCGCGACAAGCCCAACAAAUAACAGGUUUUCCACUGCACCAAUAUUCAAACUGACGGAAUGAUUAUUGCUUGAAUGCCAAUGCCAAUGCCCUGGAUUUGAACAAACAGAGGCAAUGUGAAAUAAUGAUGCUGCUUUGAGGCACUCCACCCUGGCUCUUCAUUGGUGCAUCAGAGGAUGUAAGUGGAAAUGAUUCCCCUCUUGUUUGAUGUGAAGAAGGGUAUUUACGGUGCAGCAUAGGCACACUAGGUCACACUGUGUAAAGAACUUGUGGUUCUGUUGACUGCUGAAUCUAUUCAUGAAGGGCUGGGGAUUCAACCACUUUUACUGGUUGCAUAGAUGGUCUAAAUUCAGACAACCAAUACGAAUUUUUGCCUCAGAUGGCACGAGUGGUAAUUAGAGCGCACUUGAAUAAAUAACCCUCACAAAACUUGCAGUCCCUUGACACUUGUGUUAAGUGGAAACCUCGCGAGCACACAAUCGACAGAAAACUCUUGUCAGCUCUCUUUUAUCUUCAGCCAGCGAAUGAAAAAACAAUUUGACAUUCUCGUCUUCAGGUUAUUCUUUUGUUCUUCCAUCUUCUGUCUCCUCUCCUUAGCCCCUCUGCCACAUCAUUUAGUACAUUGUAUGUUGAACCUCCUAUGGACAAAUGUACUGGGACACAAAACCAAUUCACACGUUACAAGCUAACAGGAAGAGAAACUAGAAGACAAGAGUCAGACUAUGAAUGCAUUCCCUUGUGCCAGACUUUGGUUUUCAGUAAACAGUCAAUAGAGAAGCCAGGCAGACAAGAGAAUCAGUGACAGACCAUCCACAAAGAAAUGGGGUAAUCAAUUACUUGCUCUUGCCUAAACCAAUGCACAAGCAAGCAGAAGUGUAAAAAUGUGAAUGUAAUUAAUAGGAAGCAUUAAUCACCACCCUUUAAAGCGCUCAGUCAGUAAUAGGUCGACAGAAACAGAUCCACAAAUCGAGAGAUAGUUUGACAUAUUUAAACUUAGGCCAAGCCCCAUUACCUUCAAUGUUACGUUCUUAGAAAUAAGGGUUCCGAAAGGGUUUCUUGCUAAGAGCAGAAGUUCUACCUGGAACCAUUGGCUUCUGAAAACCCCUUUUCUGAAAAUCUUUUUUCAAGGGCUCUUUGUAAGAGUUCCUGUAAGAAAUUUUUGAACAUGCAUGGUAGGCUGAAUGAGUCCUCCAAAUUGCCCGCCGGUGUGAGUGCGAAUGGUUGUUUGUCUCUGUGAGCCCUGCGAUUGGCUGGCAAC